rnacentral:piRNA from 1 species
UGAGACAGGUGUCGGGAAGCACUCUCCUC